rnacentral:rRNA from 1 species
CUACGGGGCGCACCAGUGAGGAAUAUUGCACAAUGGGGGGAACCCUGAUGCAGCAAAGCCGCGUGGAGGAUGACGCAUUUCGGUGUGUAAACUCCUUUUAUAUGUCAAGAAAAUGACGGUAGCAUAUGAAUAAGCACCGGCUAACUCCGUGCCAGCAGCCGCGGUAAUACGGAGGGUGCAAGUGUGUACUCGGAAUCACUGGGCGUAAAGGACGCGUAGGCGGGUUGGAAAGUCAGGUGUGAAAUCCUACAGCUUAACUGUAGAACUGCACUUGAAACUUCUAAUCUAGAGUAUGGGAGGGGGAGAUGGAAUUAGUGGUGUAGGGGUAAAAUCCGUAGAUAUCACUAGGAAUACCUAAAGCGAAGGCGAUCUCCUGGAACAUUACUGACGCUAAGGCGUGAAAGCGUGGGGAGCAAACAGGAUUAGAUACCCGCGUACUC